GUACAACCAUUUGAGGAAAAUGGUUACUUGGUUAGAAUAGAUUUCAAUCCUGCGGUUCCUCAUUGUUCACUUGCCAGCCUUAUUGGCCUCUGCCUGAGAGGCAAGAUUUAGAAAAAUGUGGUGGAAAGGAUCAAAUUGGACAUAGUUAUUGCAGAGGGUAAACACAGUACAGAAGAAGAGACCAAUAAACAAAUCAACGAUAAGGAAAGAGUCGCCGCCGCCUUAGAGAAUCCCAACUUAGAAGAAAUGUUCGAUAGUUGCAUAAGAGAUGAAGAAUAAGAAUUUUGUUGAGAAGAAAAAAAUUAAAAGACAAUAAAUUUCCUCAGAGUA